UGGGGAAUUUUGGACAAUGGGCGCAAGCCUGAUCCAGCAAUGCCGCGUGCAGGAAGAAGGCCUUCGGGUUGUAAACUGCUUUUGUACGGAGCGAAACGGUCCGGGUUAAUACCCUGGGCUAAUGACGGUACCGUAAGAAUAAGCACCGGCUAACUACGUGCCAGCAGCCGCGGUAAUACGAAGGGUGCAAGCGUUAAUCGGAAUUACUGGGCGUAAAGCGCGCGUAGGUGGUUCGUUAAGUUGGAUGUGAAAGCCCCGGGCUCAACCUGGGAACUGCAUCCAAAACUGGCGAGCUAGAGUAUGGCAGAGGGUGGUGGAAUUUCCUGUGUAGCGGUGAAAUGCGUAGAUAUAGGAAGGAACACCAGUGGCGAAGGCGACCACCUGGGCUAAUACUGACACUGAGGUGCGAAAGCGUGGGGAGCAAACAGG
rnacentral:rRNA from 1 species